rnacentral:rRNA from 1 species
UGGGGAAUAUUGGACAAUGGGCGAAAGCCUGAUCCAGCCAUGCCGCGUGUGUGAAGAAGGUCUUCGGAUUGUAAAGCACUUUAAGUUGGGAGGAAGGGCAGUAAGCGAAUACUUUGCUGUUUUGACGUUACCGACAGAAUAAGCACCGGCUAACUCUGUGCCAGCAGCCGCGGUAAUACAGAGGGUGCAAGCGUUAAUCGGAAUUACUGGGCGUAAAGCGCGCGUAGGUGGUUCGUUAAGUUGAAUGUGAAAGCCCCGGGCUCAACCUGGGAACUGCAUCCAAAACUGGCGAGCUAGAGUAGGGCAGAGGGUGGUGGAAUUUCCUGUGUAGCGGUGAAAUGCGUAGAUAUAGGAAGGAACACCAGUGGCGAAGGCGACCACCUGGGCUCAUACUGACACUGAGGUGCGAAAGCGUGGGGAGCAAACAGG